CCUCGCCGGCUCCCGUAGCGCUCACUUCCUGUGUUUUCCUGUUGCGUCAUUCAGGCGCUCCUCCCCGGCGGCCAGGGGCGGCCGCGCCGGGCUGGGGGAAUGGCUCCCCUGGGGCUGUGAUGCUGUCGAUGGACGGUCGAGCGCCGGGACGCGCGCUUUGUAGGCACCGUCGUUAAGGUCUUCGCUCCAGCCUUAGGACUAAGGCAACAUACUUACGUUUUACAGAUGAGCUGCUGCAAAUUUAAGUGACAGUUGGGGGGCCAGUUAAUGAGAUCCGGAAUAAGUAUAUGAAGAUGCUGGAUAUCACUAAUCACCUGGGAAGUGCAAUCAACCACAAUGACCUAUCACCUCACACCUGUCAGAAUGGCCAUCAUCAAAAAGUUGAAAGGAAGUAUCGGCAGGACUGGAGAAAAGGGAACCUUGGCGCACUGCUGGCGAGAAUGGGACACCAGCUCAAUCCCUGGUCCAGGAAGAUUCCACAUGCUGCAGAGCAACUAAGCCGGUGCACCACAACUACUGAUCCUGCACUCUAGAGCCCACAAGCCACAACUGCUGAAGCCCAUGCGCCUUGAGCCGAUGAUCCACAACAAGAGAAGCCCCCGCAAUGAGAAGCCAGUGCACUGCAACAAGAGUAGCCCCCGCUCGCCAUAGCUAGAGAAAGCCUGCACACAGCAACGAAGACACAACGCAGCCAAAAAUAUAAACAAAUAAACUUAUUUUUUUAAAAGGAGGAAGUCCUGUCAUUUGUGACAACAUGAAUGAACCUGGAAGACACUGUGCUACGUGAAAUAAGCCAGACACAGAAAGACAAAUACAGCAUUAUUUCAUUCUCAUGUGGAAUCUCAAGAAGAAGGUUGAAAUCAUUAUAACAGAGUGGGAAGGUGGUUACCAGAGGCUGAAGGGUGGGGGGAAGGGUAGAUAUUUAUCAACUAGUACAAGCUUUCAAUUAUAAGAUGAAUAAGUUCUGGAAACGUAGUUAAUACUAAUAUAUUCUAUACUUGACAUUUACCAAGAGUAGAUGUCUUGAGGAUGGAAGAUGCCUUAGAGGA